GUAUUCUUCAAGUAAAUAUUGACAGUAAUGCAAAUUGCAAGUCGCAAAAUUGAGUAGACAGCCUAAAAUAUAUAACAUUAGUUUUGAAAUAACCAUAGUUAUCAGAGGAAACAAACGCUAGACUUUUGUCUAAUUUUAUCCAUAGUUAUCCGACAUGCAUUAUACUAGUUCCUCAACAGUGUGAACAUUUACGAUAAAACUCAGAUUACACUGAAUUUUCAGUUCCUCAGGUUUUUGAAACUAAUCAUCAGGAUAUUACACCUUACCUAUUUUAGUUUUUCACUGACAAAGGUUCCACAUGAUAACAUGCACGUUUACUUCAAUUACCAAAGGUCUGGUCCUACUCUUUUGUUUUUGAUCAAUCUUUUUCACAGAUGAAUAAUUAGACAUUACAUGUAUGUGCCAGAAGAAUCCGUAAUUUUGAUUGGAUAACAACGCUUGUGCGUCAUUUUGAAUUUGAAUUUACGCCCAUUGACAAAUAAUUCAUCCAUAUUUAUGAUGGAAACACAUUAACAAUUAAUGCAAUAGGUAGGUUCGUAACACAAUCUCUACCCUUAAUCGGAAUUAACUUCCCAUUUAGAACGGGGAUGUCGUGUA
rnacentral:lncRNA from 1 species